rnacentral:rRNA from 1 species
UACGAAGGGGGCUAGCGUUGCUCGGAAUCACUGGGCGUAAAGGGUGCGUAGGCGAGUCUUUAAGUCAGGGGUGAAAUCCUGGAGCUCAACUCCAGAACUGCCUUUGAUACUGAGGAUCUUGAGUUCGGGAGAGGUGAGUGGAACUGCGAGUGUAGAGGUGAAAUUCGUAGAUAUUCGCAAGAACACCAGUGGCGAAGGCGGCUCACUGGCCGAUACUGACGCUGAGGCACGAAAGCGUGGGGAGCAAACAGG